rnacentral:rRNA from 1 species
GACAGAGGUGCCGAGCGUUAGGCGGAAUCACUGGGCUUAAAGCGUGUGUAGGCGGGUCGUAAGUGUCUUGUGAAAUCCCCCGGCUCAACCGGGGAAUGGCUGGGCAUACUGGCGAUCUUGAGCAGUCUAGGGGCAGAUGGAACAAGUGGUGGAGCGGUGAAAUGCGUAGAUAUCACUUGGAACGCCAACGGUGAAGACAGUCUGCUGGGGACUUGCUGACGCUGAGGCACGAAAGCGUGGGUAGCAAACAGG